rnacentral:tRNA from 1 species
AUUGCUCAGUGGUGGAGCACUUGCCUAGCAUGCAUGAGGCCCUGGGUUCGAUCCCUAGU